UAGGGAAUCUUCCACAAUGGGCGCAAGCCUGAUGGAGCAACACCGCGUGAGUGAAGAAGGGUUUCGGCUCGUAAAGCUCUGUUGUUAAAGAAGAACACGUAUGAGAGUAACUGUUCAUACGUUGACGGUAUUUAACCAGAAAGUCACGGCUAACUACGUGCCAGG
rnacentral:rRNA from 1 species